GGGGGCGAAUUGGAUUCGACGGGGAUAAGUGAGGUUUGACGGAGCAUGCCGAGGUCCCAGUGGCUCGUAAAACAGCUGGAAAUAAAAAUAAACGCAGACAAUUACGCUCUGCCCUUAGCUGCCUAAGAACAGCUAAUCCUGGUUAGGUUCUCGCCUGUGGGAUUUAAUCGGGACCAUUUAGCAGGCUGGUCUUUUUCUCAUCGCUUGAUGGGAAAAAGACAAGAAAAAUUCAAGCUGGUUCUCUGAAAAUCCUGCCUCCGGGAGAUUCAGGGGAUGAGAUUAAAACAGAGGAUAAGCAUGUAGCGCCUUAAGCAUCAUAUCUUCGGACAGGGGUUCGAUUCCCCUCGCCUCCACUA
rnacentral:tmRNA from 4 species